rnacentral:lncRNA from 1 species
AUUAACAACCAGAUGCUCCGCAGGGCGCAGCUUUAUACGACCGCAGAGGUCGAACCCUGAACAGUUGGGGCAAGUAUGGACACAACAUUCAAGCUUGAUACAGCACAGAAUUUGGAUUGUGAUUAAAUAGUUGACUCAGCAAAGGUAUUUGACACAGAAUGAAUAUGAUCUAAUGAACUUAAAAUUUUGGUUUUGCUUUUGUGUCACAGGCAUUUGUCUCAGAAAAAAAUUUCUAUAUACCUUAUUAUAACACAAGGUACUUAACUUGCAUUUUAGAAAAAUGUCAGGUGGUGACGAAGUUCUGUUAUAUGCCGCUUUAUAGGCUGUCAACCCCGCUAAAACUUGUUAUAUCAUAAAUCUUAAUUGAUUUAUCUUUACAAUGGUGUAUAACAUGCCUACAUUUGUUGUCGGAAUCAUCCGUAGCAAUCCUACCAAAGUAUGUCAAUCGUAAUAGUUUUGCAAACCGCUGAAGAAUUGGCAAUACACGUCCGCAGUAAAUGAUUUAUUAUAAAAAUUGUCUUAAAAAAAACCUGUUAGUUUUCGUAUGAAUAGAACUUAUCAUACAGUUAGUAAAAAUUGUAAAAUAUACCGUGAAAAAAAUCUAACAAGUGUUGUUUGUGGUAUGUCUAAUAAGUUACAAAUUUUCCCAUGACGUCAAUGUCUUCAAGACUCUCUCUUGACUUUACGUAUGAAAUGAAACAAGAUCAGAUAACUCCGAGAAUCAUUUAGACAUGUUAUAAUAAGGUAUAUAGGAAUUUUUUUUCUGAGACAAGUGCCUGUGUUUUGUGUUGUUAAAUAUAAAUCCCCUCAAAAAAGAAAAAUUCUUUUUAAUUUCUAAAAUCUGAAAUGAGAAAAACUUUAAGGGAGGUAAUCAUGUAAUCAAACAGUAUUCUUUAAAUUUUUAUUGGAUUACCUCCCUUACACGGCUUAAAUUGUCUAAAUUGUACGGUAACCACAAAAACCCUUGUUUUCCCCCUAAUUGCUUAAUGAUUUAAGCCAUAACCCCCCAUAACCAUCCCUUUGUAGUGUGGAAACUUGUGGUAUAAUUUCAGAGAGAUUUAUACACUUAAACACAAGUGAUUGACUGAAAACUCCAUAAAUGCUUAUUUGGGCCCCUUACUUAUUGAACCCCCCUUUUGGAGCAAGAACCCCAAAACUCAAUUCCAGCCUUUCCUUUGUUUUAAGAAAGAAUUUCAGAGAGAUCUAUACAAUUAAACACAAGUUAUUGUCUGUAAACUUGAAAAAUACCUCUUUUUGGCCCCUCUUUCCUAAAUAUUCAGGGAUAUUAACCCUACACUGCAUCCAAGCCUUCCCUUUGUGAUAUGGAACCUUGUGGUACAAUGUUGGAGAGAUCCAUAUAGUUAUACAAAAGUUAUUGUCCGGAAACUACACAAAUUUGUAGUUCCACGGAACCCAGUGUCUUGCCUACUUUUGAUGUUAAUCACACACUCAACAAAAAUGAUGAAAAAAUCAAUAAAAAUAUUCCUCUUGAUACUAUCUUUUGAUUGUCAGAAGCUUCUGUCCAAGUUUGGUAAAAAUCCAGGAUAGUUUAAGAAUCUUAAAAAUGUUUUAAAAACUUUAACUGCAGACUGUAUGUAAUGUUAACUGGAAGAAAAACUAAGUCCAUUUAUAAGUAAAAUAUAGGGAAAAAUGGAUUUUUUUUUUACAAAAUUUACUUCUGGAUACUAUCUUAUGAUUAGAAACAUUUUUUUUUUAAUUUUUUUAUUUAUUUUUUCAAUAGUCAGGAUUUAACAUCACCCUUACAUACCACCUGACUAAGGUGUUACAGGGUUUCAAAUAUAUAACAACAAAAGACUAUUGUUUUAUCAAGAUUUACACAAACUAAAAUAUAAAUUUUUUGAAAAUCUUUUUUUUUUUCACUCUCCUUUCACACUCUCUCUCCUUCUUUCUCACUCUCUCUUUCUCUCUUUUUUCACAAUCUCUUCAUAUAGAAAUAUCUAUAGAUUAUUUUAAAAUAGAAGAAAAAAAAAGAAGGUUUACAUGUGCUAUGCAUAUAUUACAUGUUGUUUGCUCCGUUCCAUAAAUAGGUCAAAAAGAUAUAUAUAUUGAUAUAAAUUUGGUUGUUAGAUUACCAUUCAGGAUAAAUAAUUAGCAUAGGGGCCCAAAGUUUUUCAAGUUCAAAAACUUUGUUGUAUUUUCUUGCUGUAUAUAACUCUAAGUUAUAAAAGUUUCUCAGUCUAUUUUUUAAUUCAAUUGCAUUUGGAAGCAUGCGUCUGUCCAAGUUUGGUACAAAUCAAGGAUAGUUAAGGGAAGUUAUUAAUAUUUAAAAAAACUUUAACCACAAAGUGAAUGUAAUGUUUCCUGGCAGAAAAAAAAAACUAAGUCCAUUCAUAAGUAAAAUACAGAAAAAUUGGAAUUUAAUUUUUACAAAAUUUACUUCUGGAUACUAUCUUAAGAUCAUAAACAAGCUUCUGUCCAGGUUUUGUACAAAUCCAGGAUAGUUUUAAGAAAGUUGUUAAAAUUUUAAAAACUUUAACCAGAGUGAAUAUUAUGGUUCCUGGCAGAAAAACCAAGUCCAUUUAUUAGUAAAAUACAGUAAAACUGGAAUUUUUUUUUUAAAAUUCACUUCUGGAUACUACAACUAUCUUCUGAUCAUAAACAAGCUUCUGUCCAAGUUUAGAAAUCCAGGAUAGUUUAAGAAAGUUAUUAAAAUUUCAAAAACUUUAACCACAGAGUGAAUAUUUGUGGACGCCGCCAACCACGGAACGCCAAAGGAAUGAAGGAUCGCUAUGUCUCGCUUUUUUGACUGAAGUCUGACUAUUAAUUCCUAGGCUGUUUGCCCCAUAACCCUUAAAAUAAAUCCCAACCUUCUACUUAAUGGUAUGAACAUUGUGGUACAAUAUCAGAGCAAUUGAAAUACUUAUACACAACUUAUUGUCCUGAAACUAGAUAAAUACUUGUUCUGGGCCCCUUUGGGCCUGUUAUUUUUUAACCGAUGGGACCAUAACCCCCGAAACCAAUCCCAACCUUUCUUUUGUGGUUAUCAACAUUGUGUUAAAAUUUAAUUGAUUUCUAAUUACUUAUACCAAAGUUAUUAUCUGGAAACCAUUCAUCUUCGGACGACACUGACUACGAGGACGCUGCCGCUGCCAAUGACAAGAUACCAAAAUACGACCAAAUUUUUUUUAAUAUUUGCGGUCGUAUUAAAAUGGUAUUGUUUCAAACUAAAAUGUUUUCAAAUAUUCCAAUGACCAUUAAAAAAGAUAUUGCAGACUUAUGAUUGAAGAUUUAGUCUUGGUUAUAUUAUUUUUUAAAACACAUCGUUACAUAUUACAGAUGUAUUGAAAAGUAAAAUAUCCCUGUGUUUCUACCCUUGUGCACCUCUUAUUUGUUAACUAAUUUGUUCAUGAACAUGUUAGCAGAAACAAAUAAGUCAUAUACAUCCUUCUGAAUAUCUGACUAGCAGUCAGCAAUUUUGUGUUGACAUGAGUUUCAUUGAAAUGUUCAUUUUCUGUAAAUUUAUACUUUGGUUCUUCUACCCAAAGGCAGAUAUUGUCUGAAUUGUAUUUGGCACAAUUUAAGGAGUUUUCGGUAAUUAAAGCUCUACAACUGUGUAUUUGACUAGGCCAAUCUAAUUAAAAUAUAGUUCUCUGAUUUCAUUAUACUCAUACUUAUAUGUGUGAGCACCUGAGUUAAUAUAUGUCUGAAUUUUAGCACCACUGACGAGUCUUAUGUAGACAAAACUCAAGUCUCAUACAAAAUUGUAAACCUGGUAUCUUUGAUGAUUUUUUUAACCACCUUGAACUAUUGCUUCACCUGCAACAAAUUACAAGUAUGAAGACAAUGCAAUUCCACACAUUAUACUCCUGGAUUCAGCUAGGAUUCCAGGGGAAAGUAUACAAAAAUAAAAUUAACAUUAUGUGAGAAAUAAAUAGACAAUUUUAAUUGUACAGAAGAUAAAUAUAUAACCCCAAUUUCACAAUUUUAUAUAAAAAAUAUGCCACAAAGCAACAAUUCACAAUAACAAUAAUUCUAUUAUGCAUUAACCAAAUAUAUAAACAAGAAAAUCCAUAACUGAAAUAUUGCAUUCUCAUCUAUUGUUUUCCCUUCUACAGAGUGUAUUUGUAGAGUAGAUUAAAGAAAUGUCCCAUUAUUAUGUAGAAAAGUAAAGUGCAUCGUUAUUACAAGCUCUUUGAUUGGAGAUUUCUAAUUUAUGAAUAAAUUAAUGUAACCGUGGAGACAAUAGUCUGCUGAAGACAAUAAUGAUGCACUUCGUAAUCAAUCAUGCUCUGACAACAUAUUUUGUCCUCUAUAUACUUCAUUACAUUCACCAUAUUACAUCAUCAAAACUUCUAAACAUUUUUCCAUGAAGUUCCAAAGAAAAAUUAUUCUAUAUUCCAACAAGAAAACUAUAUCCAUUUUAAAUUGUUGAAAAGUUUUGAACCUAAGGAGUAAAUUUUUCUCCUGUUAUAAAUGUUCAAAAAAGGCAAACUCAAUAAUGCUGACAAUUGAUAUAUAAUGCAUUAUCCUUAGAAAUAAAAUAAACAACAAACUGGUUAAAAUAUCAAACAAAGUUAAGUUUAACUUACUCUUGAAAAACAGGACAGACUAGUCAUUUGUACAGAUGUAUUUUGAUAUUUUGCUCAUAUCUCUUUGGGAUUUUGCUUUACUAUCAGAUGUAAUUAUUUUUUACAUUAGGAAAUGUAACCAAGAUUUUUUUUUAACUGGAUUAAGAAUUUUAGAAUAAUCUGAAUAUGGAGGUUCAUAUUUAGGUUACUUUCUCUUGUAUUUCAGUAUGAACUGAUUGACAACCUUAACCAGAUGCUCCGCAGGGCGCAGCUUUAUACGACCGCAGAGGUUGAACCCUGAACGGUUGGGGCAAGUAUGGACACAACAUUCAAGCUGGAUUCAGCUCUAAAUUUGGAUUGUGAUUAAAUAGUUGACACAGCAUAGGUUUCUGACACAGAAUGAAUGUGGUCUAAUGAACUUAAAAAAAAAUAUGUUUGCCUUUGAACAAUUCACUAUGCUGUUGAAUAUUAAUCCUCUCAAAAAAAUGUUUGAAGAAAUUUUCUUUUUAUUUAUGAAAUCUGAAAUGAAAAAAAUUGACCCCCCCAAUUUUUUUUUCACAUCCCCCUUUCCCUUAUUUCAAAACUGAUCUCAAUUCAAAUUUCUAAUGAAGUUUGCAACAAUAACUACUCAUUUAAAUACAUCAUAAAAUAUUAAAA